rnacentral:rRNA from 1 species
CACGUAGGGGACGAGCGUUGUCCGGAUUCAUUGGGCGUAAAGCGCGCGUAGGCGGCUCGGAAAGUCGGGCGUGAAAUGUCGGGGCUCAACCCCGGGACUGCGUCCGAUACUUCCGAGCUGGAGGUAGGUAGGGGAGAUCGGAAUUCCUGGUGGUAGCGGUGAAAUGCGCAGAUAUCAGGAGGAACACCGGUGGCGAAGGCGGGAUCUCUGGGCCUUACCUGACGCUGGAGGCGCGAAAGCUAGGGGAGCGAACAGGA